rnacentral:siRNA from 1 species
AUCGAUGAUAUGGCACUCGAUA